GAGGGUAUAGCUCAGUGGUAGAGCACAUGCUUAGCAUGCAUGAGGUCCUGAGUUCGAUCCUCAGUACCUCCA
rnacentral:tRNA from 1 species